CUCUGAGGAGGGGAGGCUGUUUAGGGUGAGAAAACUGAAAGGGGAUCUCACCCAUCCGCAGGAAUAUCUCAAAUAUCCCUGCAAAUAUCUAAUCUCAGAGGGGAUCUCAUCGAUCCACACAGAGAUCUCGAAUAUCGGUACAAACAUCUCAUCUGAGGGGGGGAGCUCAUCAGUCCAUACAAACAUCUCAUCAACCCACUGCAGGUCACUGAGAAGCAGUUUGUACCCAGGUGAGUGAUAGUGUGUGAGCCAAGAGGUCAGGGAUGGAAAUGCCUCUUCAAUAUCUGCUACCUCAGGGACCUGGGCUGUUCAUUGUGCAACUGAACCAAGAAUAGAAACAAAACCUGUGCAAACCCACCCUGAAGGCUGGAGUCCUUUCCAUCCAAAACAGUCCAAAAAAGUCAAUGGUUAGUUGAAAAUCUGGCAGAAUCAAGCAAGAUAAUACAAAUAAAAAGCAAAUAAAAGUCUUCAAAUCUCAUCUUAAUGUCUUUCAUCAACAUUUAAUUGCCAUAAUUGCUAAAAAUAAGGUAGGAAUGGAGCAGAAUAAGGUUUGAAAAGGAGAAAGAGAGCAAAGUUCUUCAAUAGCAAAAAAUAAAAAUC